CCCUUAGAUGUUCUGGGCUGCACGCGCGCUACACUGAUGCGUUCAACAAGUUGGACCUCGUCCGAGAGGAAAUCGGGGGAAUCUUUUGAAAACGUAUCGUGAUAGGGAUAGAUUAUUGCAAUUAUUAAUCUUCAACGAGGAAUUCCUAGUAAGCGCGAGUCAUCAGCUCGUGCUGAUUACGUCCCUGCCCUUUGUACACACCGCCCGUCGCUCCUACCGAUUGAGUGCUCAGGUGAAUAAUUCGGACUGCAGCAAUGUUUGGAUCCCGAACGUUGCAGCGGAAAGUUUAGUGAACCUUAUCACUUAGAGGAAGGAGAAGUCGUAACA
rnacentral:rRNA from 1 species